rnacentral:rRNA from 1 species
AUUGAACGCUGGCGGCAGGCCUAACACAUGCAAGUCGAGCGGAUGAAGGGAGCUUGCUCCUGGAUUCAGCGGCGGACGGGUGAGUAAUGCCUAGGAAUCUGCCUGGUAGUGGGGGAUAACGUCCGGAAACGGGCGCUAAUACCGCAUACGUCCUGAGGGAGAAAGUGGGUGAUCUUCGGACCUAACGGUAACAGGGGAGCCUAGGUCGGAUUAGCUAGUUGGUGGGGUAACGGCCUACCAAGGCGACUAUCCAUAACUGGUCUGAGAGGAUGAUCAGUCACACUGGGAGAGGGACAAGGCCCAGACAUCUGCGGGAGGGAGCAGUGGUGAAUCAGAGACAAUGGGGGAAAGCAGGAGCUAGCCAGGCCGUAGGAGAGAUGAAGGCGGGAGGAUGGGAAAGAACUUUAAGCCGGGAAGAUAAGGAGGGUACAAGAAGAAGAAGCCCCGCCAAACUCGGU